rnacentral:rRNA from 1 species
GUCGAGAAUAAUUCACAAUGGGGGCAACCCUGAUGGUGCAACGCCGCGUGGAGGAUGACGGUCUUCGGAUUGUAAACUCCUGUCAUCUGGGAGUAAGACCUGGGCAUUAAUAGUGCACAGGGUUGAUAGUACCAGAAGAGGAAGGGACGGCUAACUUCGUGCCAGCAGCCGCGGUAAUACGAAGGUCCCGAGCGUUGUUCGGAAUCACUGGGCGUAAAGGGAGCGUAGGCGGCGUGGUAAGUCAGAUGUGAAAUCCCGGGGCUCAACCCCGGAACUGCAUCCGAUACUGCCGUGCUAGAGUAAUGGAGAGGUAGCUGGAAUUCACGGUGUAGCAGUGAAAUGCGUAGAUAUCGUGAGGAACACUCGUGGCGAAAGCGAGCUACUGGACAUUUACUGACGCUGAGGCUCGAAGGCUAGGGUAGCGAAAGGGAUUAGAAACCCUAGUAGUCC